CGGGUGGCUGCAGCAGUGGGGAAUAUUGGACAAUGGGGGAAACCCUGAUCCAGCAAUGCCGCGUGUGUGAAGAAGGCCUGCGGGUUGUAAAGCACUUUCGGUUGGGAGGACUGCUUCUAGCACUAAUAUUGUUGGAAGUUGACGUUACCUUCAGAAGAAGCACCGGCUAACUCCGUGCCAGCAGCCGCGGUAAUACGGAGGGUGCAAGGGUUAAUCGGAAUUACUGGGCGUAAAGCGCGCGUAGGCGGCUAGAUCAGUCGGGUGUGAAAGCCCCGGGCUUAACCUGGGAACUGCAUCCGAUACUGUCUAGCUUGAGUACAGGAGAGGAGAGUGGAAUUCCACAUGUAGCGGUGAAAUGCGUAGAUAUGUGGAGGAACACCAAUGGCGAAGGCAGCUCUCUGGCCUGAUACUGACGCUGAGGUGCGAAAGCGUGGGGAGCAAACAGGAUUAGAUACCCGAGUAGUC
rnacentral:rRNA from 1 species